rnacentral:ncRNA from 1 species
UAUCUUGAGAGUUUGAUCCUGGCUCAGGACGAACGCUGGCGGCGUGCUUAACACAUGCAAGUCGAGCGGAGGCAGCACUUAACACUGAGUGCUUAGUGGUGAGAGCUUAAAUUAAGUUAGUCAGCGUCAAGACCGCGUAAGCGGGCUUCACGCUAUAUAAGAAUAACACAAGAGCUGAGCAUUGAGUGUUAAGGGCUGCCUUAGCGGCGGACGGGUGAGUAACACGUGGGUAACCUGCCUCAUGGAGGGGGAUAACACUAAGAAAUUGGUGCUAAUACCGCAUAAAACCG